CCUACGGGAGGCAGCAGUAGGGAAUCUUCCACAAUGGGCGAAAGCCUGAUGGAGCAACGCCGCGUGGGUGAAGAAGGUCUUCGGAUCGUAAAACCCUGUUGUUAGAGAAGAAAGUGCGUGAGAGUAACUGUUCACGUUUCGACGGUAUCUAACCAGAAAGCCACGGCUAACUACGUGCCAGCAGCCGCGGUAAUACGUAGGUGGCAAGCGUUAUCCGGAUUUAUUGGGUGUAAAGGGAACGCAGGCGGUCUUUUAAGUCUGAUGUGAAAGCCUUCGGCUUAACCGGAGUAGUGCAUUGGAAACUGGGAGACGUGAGUGCAGAAGAGGAGAGUGGAACUCCAUGUGUAGCGGUGAAAUGCGUAGCUAUAUGGAAGAACACCAGUGGCGAAAGCGGCUCUCUGGUCUGUAACUGACGCUGAGGUUCGAAAGCGUGGGUAGCAAACAGGAUUAGAUACCCCUGUAGUC
rnacentral:rRNA from 1 species